rnacentral:rRNA from 1 species
UACAGAGGGUGCGAGCGUUGUCCGGAAUCAUUGGGCGUAAAGCGCGUGUAGGCGGCUUGGUAAGUCCGCUCUGAAAGCCCGGGGCUCAACCCCGGGAAGGCGGGUGGAUACUGUCAAGCUCGAGUCCGGAAGAGGCGAGUGGAAUUCCUGGUGUAGCGGUGAAAUGCGCAGAUAUCAGGAGGAACACCAAUGGCGAAGGCAGCUCGCUGGGACGUGACUGACGCUGAGACGCGAAAGCGUGGGGAGCAAACAGG